rnacentral:rRNA from 1 species
UACAGAGGGUGCAAGCGUUAAUCGGAAUUACUGGGCGUAAAGCGUGCGUAGACGGUUACAUAAGUCGGAUGUGAAAGCCCCGGGCUCAACCUGGGAAUUGCAUUCGAGACUGUGUAGCUAGGAUGCGGAAGAGGGAAGCGGAAUUUCCGGUGUAGCGGUGAAAUGCGUAGAGAUUUGGAGGAACACCAGUGGCGAAGGCGACUUUCUGGUCUGUAACUGACACUGAGGCGCGAAAGCGUGGGGAGCGAACAGG